CCACAUCCAACCCGCCGAACGUACCAUACCUAAAACUAAAAAAAAAAAAACACGGCGUAUGCAGCAAGCAUGAAAAUAGCUCGAAAAUCGUCAGACCGUUUUGAAAAUAUAACCACCUUCAGAAAAGCUGAGUUAAGUGCAUUGUGAACAUUCAGGCCUCUACGAGUAUUUUUAAAAACACGAUAAAAUAAUGAUAAAAACGAAAUUCUAUUUAUUAUGUUUCAUUUGUCAACGGAAAUCAAAUGACUACGGCCUGACGUAAUAACUACGGAUCGUUCUUUAUUUGAAAUAUUUGUUGAAUUUAAUAGACGCGAAAUUUCCACUCAGCGGUACAUUAGUAAACACAUUUUUUUUAAUUCA